rnacentral:rRNA from 1 species
UACGGAGGGUGCAAACGUUGCUCGGAAUCAUUGGGCGUAAAGCGCACGUAGGCGGCCCAGCAAGUCGGAUGUGAAAGCCCUCGGCUCAACCGAGGAAGUGCAUUCGAAACUGCUGGACUUGAAUAUGGAAGAGGGUCGCGGAAUUCCCGGUGUAGAGGUGAAAUUCGUAGAUAUCGGGAGGAACACCAGUGGCGAAGGCGGCAUCCUGGACCGGCAUUGACGCUGAGGCGCGAAAGCUAGGGGAGCAAACAGG